rnacentral:rRNA from 1 species
AGCAGCCGCGGUAAUUCCAGCUCCAAUAGCGUAUAUUAAAGUUGUUGCAGUUAAAAAGCUCGUAGUUGAAUUUCGGGGUCAGUAGGUUGGUCGUGCCACUGGUAUGUACUGGCUUCACUGAUUCCUCCUUCCUGAUGAGCCGUAAUGCCAUUAAUUUGGUGUUGCGAGGAAUCUGGACUGUUACUUUGAAAAAAUUAGAGUGUUUAAAGCAAGCUAACGCUUGAAUACAUUAGCAUGGAAUAAUGAAAUAGGACGUUCGGUCUUAUUUUGUUGGUUUCUAAGAUUGACGUAAUGAUUAAUAGGGAUAGUUGGGGGCAUUAGUAUUCAAUUGUCAGAGGUGAAAUUCUUGGAUUUAUUGAAGACUAACUACUGCGAAAGCAUUUGCCAAGGAUGUUUUCAUUAAUCAAGAACGAAAGUUAGGGGAUCGAAGACGAUCAGAUACCGUCGUAGUCUUAACCAUAAACUAUGCCGACUAGGGAUCGGAUGAUGUUAAUUUUUUAAUGA